rnacentral:rRNA from 1 species
UCAGUAACACGUCGGUAACCUACCCUCGGGAGGGGGAUAACCCCGGGAAACUGGGGCUAAUCCCCCAUAGGCCUGAGGUACUGGAAGGUCCUCAGGCCGAAAGGGCGUAAGCCGCCCGAGGAUGGGCCGGCGGCCGAUUAGGUAGUUGGUGGGGUAACGGCCCACCAAGCCGAAGAUCGGUACGGGCCAUGAGAGUGGGAGCCCGGAGAUGGACACUGAGACACGGGUCCAGGCCCUACGGGGCGCAGCAGGCGCGAAACCUCCGCAAUGCGGGAAACCGCGACGGGGGGACCCCCAGUGCCGUGGCAUCGCCACGGCUUUUCCGGAGUGUAAAGAGCUCCGGGAAUAAGGGCUGGGCAAGGCCGGUGGCAGCCGCCGCGGUAAUACCGGCGGCCCGAGUGGUGGCCGCUAUUAUUGGGCCUAAAGCG